rnacentral:rRNA from 1 species
UACGUAGGGGGCAAGCGUUGUCCGGAAUCAUUGGGCGUAAAGAGCGUGUAGGCGGUCCGGUAAGUCGGCUGUAAAAGUCAAAGGCUCAACCUUUGAAUGUCAGUGGAUACUGCCGGGCUAGAGUUCGGUAGGGGAGACUGGAAUUCCUGGUGUAGCGGUGAAAUGCGCAGAUAUCAGGAGGAACACCGAUGGCGAAGGCAGGUCUCUGGGCCGAUACUGACGCUGAGGAGCGAAAGCGUGGGGAGCGAACAGG